AAUCGUCGGGUUAGCAAUAAUUCGGCGGUUCUAGUGGCGCACGGGUGAGUAACACGUGGGUAACCUGCCCUAGAGUUCGGGAUACCCUCUCGAAAGGGAGGCUAAUACCGGAUACGGUCCUCGGGUCGACAGAUCUGGGGAAGAAAGGUGGCGCAAGCUGCCGCUCUUGGAGGGGCUCGCGGCCUAUCAGCUAGUUGGCGGGGUAACGGCCCACCAAGGCUAUGACGGGUAGCUGGUCUGAGAGGACGACCAGCCACACGGGGACUGAGACACGGCCCCGACUCCUACGGGAGGCAGCAGUGGGGAAUUUUCCGCAAUGGGCGAAAGCCUGACGGAGUGACGCCGCGUGUGGGACGAAGGCCUUCGGGUCGUAAACCACUGUCAGUGGGAAAGAUGGGUGCCGGCGCGAUAACCGCCGGUAUCUGACGGCACCUGCAGAGGAAGCCCCGGCCAACUCUGUGCCAGCAGCCGCGGUAAGACAGAGGGGGCAAGCGUUGCUCGGAAUUACUGGGCGUAAAGGGCGCGUAGGCGGAAUGGCAAGUCGGUCGUGAAAUCCUUCGGCUCAACCGAAGAACGUCGAUCGAAACUGCCGUUCUUGAGGAUUGCAGAGGAGACUGGAAUUCCCGGUGUAGCGGUGAAAUGUGUAGAGAUCGGGAGGAACACCGGUGGCGAANGCGGGUCUCUGGGCAAUUCCUGACGCUGAGGCGCGAAAGCGUGGGGAGCAAACGGGAUUAGAUACCCCGGUAGUCCACGCUGUAAACGAUGACGACUAGGUGUGGGGGGGUUCAGUCCCUUCCGUGCC
rnacentral:rRNA from 1 species